CGUCUUACUCUGCAUAUAAAGUGUGUUUUCGAGGUUUUAUCAAACAAUUGCGCCGACAAAGUCGAUCUCCGACGACGAAGUUCGGGGAUGCGAGGGACGAUUUUCCGGGCUGGGCAGUCUCAAAUCGCAUGCUCUCACAUGCACACAAUUUGCGAGCACGUGAAAGAGGUGAUUACACACCUCGGCAAUCCGUAACUCGGGGUUUCGGCCAUGGCUUUGGACCCCAUGCAAGGUGCUGCAUUGUUCUGGGAACUGUGCGAGGUCGGGAUUCUUAUAUACUUGGCGAUUAGCGAGAGUGAUCACAGUUAUCGAUUAGCGAGUACAGGCUCCAGGAAACGUGCGUGAGUCCGCGGACUUGCUGGUCUUUGUUUUGUGAAGAAUGCAGCGUUUUGGGGGGUGUGCAUUGGUUACGGACACAGGAGCUCUUCGUGUUGCAGGAGACAAUUACCAUGAGGAUUUAAGUAUUUUAACGCACCGUUGGAUUCUUCUUCCAAGCUUUGAAUAUUGUUAAAAUGAUGCUUCAGUAGCAAUGGUGCCUGUGAUGUUGGCCAUCAUUUGAACGCCGCGUUUCUCUCUGAAGUCAAUUGGAGGUUCAAAAGUAUGGUGUAGCUUUAGAAUUUAAAGCUGAACUAUAAACUAGUUGCGUGAUUGCCAAAUCUCCGUUCUGCGGGGUCCAGGAUUGUGAGGAUGGCAACUGGGGCGAGUCAACCACUCGCCGUGCAACAUACAACUUCCUCUCGACGCCCAAGUUUUUAUCUCGAACCAACUUCACUACCUUGUUCACUAUUCGCAACACAGAUCAAAGGAGAAGAGAACGUUCAUGAUGUCAGAAGAUAGCACGCAUCUUUUCCACGAAAUUUCAAUUAAUAGCCUCUGCAUUCACAAGGCUUGAGACUUGGUCACUUAAGGUGUUCGGCCUCUUUGAAAGGAGAAGGAAGGUCUUCUUCUUCUUUUGGUAUCGGAAAUUGGCAUAUUUUCUCGGACUUGAAGUCAGCUGACAGAUAACCUCUGAGUCUAGUUGCUCGCAUUAUCACUAGACACACUACAUGCAGAUGGAUUGUGUCAUUCUGGAGUAGUGAAUCCUUCACGUUUUGUUGUCGGGAGGUUUGUCAGCUUACGAGUGAUUUGUGAUAACUUUCUGAGGUCAUGAAGGUUUUUAUGGGCACAAUGUGGGUGGUAAAUAGGCUAGGCUUUUGGUGCUUGUCGUGAUUCCUGGUUGAACGCAAGUGACAAUUCAGAUCGGCAUGGAUAUAUUCUUGGCCUUAGCCACUGUGUGCACGCUCUUAGCGAAUUUGGCAGGUAGGUCUUUUUGUUUCCAAGCGUUUAGAGAAAAGAUCUAAUGGGCGUUCUGUAGCUCAUCCUAGUGCGCUAGUAUCUGUUUUCUUCCCACGAUCUUUGGGGAAUGGAUUGAAAAUGCGACAGGACCAACAAGGUCGCAUGCCUGUGCUGUCGGGGCUCCUUUUCGUAACGCUUGCUUUAGGAACAGAUGGAGUACCUCCUGUGAUGUAAUUGCGUGGGCCUUUGGUAUUGGCAGCAGGUCUACCAGAACUUCCUGCUUCCAUAAGUUUCUAAAAAUAUGUCCUGAAGUUAAGUUCCUUUCAGCUGACUAGAGAGGAAUGUCACCGGCUGCUGUAGCUUCCUGUUUGUCCUUCACUGAGAGCGUCGCAGUAUUAGCAAUUUAUCGGGACCAGGUUGUCAGUGCCCUACUGCUAUGGAGAGGGUAGAGAUACAUAAACGCCGAAUUGAUAUCAGGUUCCGAUGGGAGCAAUCCUUUUAUCCACUUUGACAAAAUAGGUAUUGCGCACUUUGACAAAAUAGUAUUAGUAUUUGCUUUACAACUACAAAACUAGAGCAGAUUGCCGCAGCUUUUGGGUGGUAACGAUAACACUCGCACGCCUAGGUGUUCCUGUGGAGGAGCUGAUAUGAACACUUCUUCUGUCACUACGAUUCAUUGAUAUCGUGUUUUACAAGGCUUGGUUAUCCAAUUGAAGUUUAUUGGAUCGGGUGAUCUUGUCUGAUACUUUUUGCAGACAUAGAUAAGGCAUGAAGCGUUUCUCUUCGAUCUGUCCGAACCGCAUUAGGUGAUAAGUAUCAGUUUGGGUAUGUAGGUUCGAAAUCUUGCGGUUGGAGUUGUGGCCAAAAAUAGCGAUUGGAAGUCGUUGGGGCCGACAGAAACAGCAGACUGUAAUUUUUGUAUCCCUUGAAAGAUAAAGCCCAAUGUAUAUUUCUCAUUAGAAUGAUUUAACAAGUUCUAUUGAA